CCGAGGAGCCGCCGGGCCCGGAGCAUGCCGCUGAGCAGCCGGAGGAGCGGCGCGCGGCCGCCUUCCUACGCCCGGCUGCUGCUGCUGCGGAGGUCGCGGCUGCAGAGGCAGCGGAGCCGCUCGCGCUCCCGGAGCCGGCCGCUCAGCAGCAGCAGGGAGUCCCCGCCAGAGAGGACCGGGCAGAGACGGGCAAUGCCUGGUGGAGGCCUGGAGAAGACGCCCAGCAUGGAACCAGCUGCCACGACACCCUUCCGUGUCACGGGCUUCCUGAGCCGCCGGCUGAAGGGCUCCAUCAAGCGCACCAAGAGCCAGCCCAAGCUCGACCGCACCAGCAGCUUCCGCCACAUCCUGCCGGCCUUCAGGAGCGCCGCCGAGGACCAUGAGAGAUCACAUCUGAUGCCGAGGCUGAAAGAAUCACGCUCCCACGAGUCGUUGCUGAGUCCCAGUAGUGUGGUGGAGGCCCUGGACCUCAGCAUGGAGGAGGAGGUGGUGAUCAAGCCGGUGCACAGCAGCAUCCUUGGGCAGGAUUACUGCUUCGAGGUGACAACUUCAUCUGGCAGCAAAUGCUUCUCGUGCCGAUCGGCGGCUGAGCGGGACAAGUGGAUGGAAAACCUGCGGCGGGCCGUGCAUCCCAACAAGGUUGUGCAGGUUUUUCCCCCAAACUCCUGCCCAACCUAUUUGAGCAGAGGCGAAAAUGGGAUAAAAGGAACAGCCCAAAGAAGCAAGCCAAUCUCUGUGAAAAAUCAUUGUGACAACAGCAGGCGUGUCGAGAACAUGCUGAAGCUGUGGAUCAUCGAAGCCAAAGACCUGCCGGCCAAGAAGAAGUACCUGUGCGAACUCUGCCUGGACGAGGUCCUCUACGCCCGGACGACGUGCAAGUUGAAAACGGACAAUGUCUUCUGGGGGGAGCACUUUGAGUUCAACAACCUGCCCACCCUCCGCAGCAUCACCGUCCACCUGUACAAGGAGACGGACAAGAAGAAGAAGAAGGACAAGAGCAACUUCAUGGGGCUGGUCAGCAUCCCGGUGGGCUCGGUCACCAGCCGGCAGUUCGUGGAGAAGUGGUACCCGGUGGCCACGCCCAACCCCAGCAAGGGGAAGUCGGCCGGGCCCAUGGUCCGCAUCAAGGCGCGCUACCAAACCAUGAGUAUCCUGCCCAUGGAGAUGUACAAGGAGUUCGCGGAGUACAUCACCAACAACUACCUGGUCCUCUGCUCGGUGCUGGAGCCGGCGCUGAGCGUCAAGAACAAGGAGGAGAUGGCUUCGGCCCUGGUCCACAUCUUGCAAAGCACCGGCAAGGCCAAGGAUUUCUUGACUGACCUCAUGAUGUCCGAGGUGGACCGCUGCGGCGAUAACGAGCACCUUAUUUUCCGAGAGAACACGCUUGCCACAAAAGCCAUUGAGGAGUACCUGAAGCUGAUGGGCCAGAAGUACCUGCAGGACGCCCUCGGGGAGUUUAUCAAGGCUCUGUACGAGUCGGACGAGAACUGCGAAGUGGACCCCAGCAAGUGCUCGUCCUCGGAUCUCCCCGAACAUCAGAGCAACCUCAAGAUGUGCUGCGAACUGGCCUUCUGCAAAAUCAUCAACUCCUACUGCGUGUUCCCGAGGGAGCUGAAGGAGGUCUUUGCCUCGUGGCGGCAGGAAUGCAGCAGCCGCGGCCGGCCGGACAUCAGCGAGAGACUCAUCAGCGCCUCCCUGUUCCUGCGCUUCCUCUGCCCGGCCAUCAUGUCCCCCUCCCUCUUCAACCUGCUGCAGGAAUAUCCCGACGACCGGACCGCCCGCACCCUGACGCUGAUUGCCAAGGUCACGCAGAACCUGGCCAACUUUGCAAAGUUCGGCAGCAAGGAGGAGUACAUGUCCUUCAUGAACCAGUUCCUGGAGCACGAGUGGACCAACAUGCAGCGCUUCCUGCUGGAGAUCUCCAACCCGGAGACGCUCUCCAACACGGCCGGCUUCGAAGGCUACAUCGACCUGGGCCGGGAGCUCUCCUCCUUGCACUCGCUGCUCUGGGAGGUGGUGGCCCAGCUCGAGCAGAGCACAGCGACGAAGCUCGGGCCGCUGCCGCGCGUCCUGAGGGACGUCAACACGGCUCUCAGCAACCCGUCCUGUGUGCAGGUCUCGGUCACGGCGGACCACGCUGCCUCGACGCCCAACGCCAGCAACAGCAUCUCGGUGGGCCUGCAGAAGAUGGUCAUUGAGAACGAGCUGUCCGGUCUGAUAGAUUUCACACGGUUACCGUCUCCAACCCCUGAAAACAAGGACUUGUUUUUUGUCACAAGGUCUGUGGGGGCUCAGCCCUCGCCUGCCCGGAGCUCCAGCUACUCGGAGGCCAAUGAGCCCGACGUCCAGAUGGCCAACGGCAGCAAAAGCCUCUCCAUGGUGGACUUGCAGGACAAUCGCGCUCUGGACGGCGGGGGCGCCCUCCUGGGGCCGGCCGAGGCCCUCCCCGACGGCCAGCCCCCCUUGGGGCCGCUCCCGGGCGGCUGGAGCGCGCGGACUCAGGCGAACAGCGUGGCCGCCAUGGCCACCGUGCGCCGCGUGGGCCAGACCCCCACCACGCCCGGCACGGAGGGCGCCCCCGGCAGGCCCCAGCUGCUGGCCCCGCUCUCCUUCCAGAACCCGGUCUACCAGAUGGCGGCCGGGCUGCCCCUCUCGCCCCGGGGGCUGGCCGACUCGGGCUCCGAGUGCCACAGCUCGCUCAGCUCCCACAGCAACAGCGAGGACUUGGCCGCGGCGGCCAGCAAGCAGCACGCCUUCGGCAACCCCGCCUUGGCCACCGAGGACUUCGCCCGGCGGGCGGGGGAGCUGGCCCGGAGGCAGCUCUCCCUCACGGACAAGGCCGGCCAGCCCACCAUGCCCCGGCAGAACAGCGGGGGGCCCCAGAGGCGGAUAGACCAGCCGCCCCCGCCCCCGCCGCCCCCUCCCCCCAUCACGCGGGGCCGGACGCCCCCCUCCUUCCUGAACACCAUGCAGUACCCUCGCCCCUCCAGCGGGGGCAUGCUCUCGUCUUCGCCCGAUUGGCCGGGCAGCGGGGCCCGGCUCCGGCAGCAGUCCUCCUCCUCCAAGGGAGACAGCCCGGAGAUGAAGCAGCGCACGAUGCACAAGCAGGCCCUUUCACCUGUGAACCCCAAUGCCCUGGACCGCACGGCCGCUUGGCUGUUGAAUAUGAACAUACAGUUUGUAGAAGAAGAGAGCGUUGAGCCCGAACCCCAGCACAGGGAUAAGAGCCGGAUAAAAGAGGAGUACAGCCAAGGGGACAAGCAGUACCAGCAGGACGUGGUGGUGCUUCAGGACAAGCUGCGUCUCUCCAACAAGAAGCUGGAGGAGUACGAGGCCCGCUUCAAGGGCCAGGAGGAGGCCACCCAGAAGCUGGUGCUGGAGUACCAGGCCCGGCUGGAGGAGAGCGAGGAGCGGCUGCGCCGGCAGCAGGAGGACAAGGAGAUCCAGAUGAAGGGCAUCAUCAGCAGGCUGAUGUCAGUGGAGGAGGAGCUGAAAAAGGACCAUGUGGAAAUGCAGGCGGCUGUAGACUCCAAGCAGAAGAUCAUAGAUGCCCAGGAGAAACGCAUUGCCUCCCUGGACGCAGCCAAUGCCCGGCUCAUGAGCGCCCUCACCCAGCUGAAAGAGAGGUACAGCACGCAGACACGUAACGGCAUCUCCCCCACAAACCCAACUAAAUUGCAGAUUACCGAGAACGGCGAAUUCCGAAACAGCAGCAAUUGUUAACCUGCGGGGAGAGCUGCUGCAGGAAAGAGAGAGAGAGAGAGCAUGCGCAGCAGCGGCAAGCAGCGGCAGCAGCAGCAGGAGGGUAUGCAUUAGGAAAAAAAACACACACAUAUGUCUCAAAAGCCAAAGCAGCCCUCUCUCUGGAGCACUGUCCUCUUGUAAGUGGGAGUGGGUGCCGCGUGGAAGGCUAACCGCUCCGAAGGCCUCCAAGGGGAGAGACCAGCAAGGACAGCAACUUCCGAGGAAGUGUCUCCCUUGUCAGACUCGCUGGGCCGCCGUAAGCCAUGGUUAGUCACUCCCAACUAACCCCUUAGUGGAGCUGGCGCUUUCCCAUCAGGUACUAACCUCCAGCUGGCUUGUGGGUUGAGAUGCUUGGUUUUUAAGUCCGCCCGGAUGACACCUCCCGCUCGGCCCCUUAAAGAGAGCAUAGCCACUCUUGGGUGCUUCUGAGCCAGGACAGCCUUGCGUUUUGGGCGGCCCCCAAAGGUGCCUGGUGCCUAGCGUGGGCCAGCAGCAGCAGGAGGAAUCUCCCCCCCCCCGAGGAGAUGUGGCUUCCUAAACUUCUUAAAGCAAAAAAAAACCCGAAGCCUCCCACCGCACGCCACCAUCCUCUCCCCUGCAACUUGAAUGUUCCGUAACUCGCAGACAAUCACGUUAUCUCGCUGCACCCAAACCUCUCCAAAGUGCAAAGGAACCAAUGAUUUUAAGUCCAAUGUGAAUGUGUGGACACUUAAACUGUGUUUCCCUUCCUCGCGCUCCACCCACUUGCCCGUAGCGGGGAGGCUCAAAAACCAUGCCAAGGAAGACUCUCUCAAUGGAGAGAUAGCCGGGCACUGAGUUUAUGCCCCCGACUGACGACCGGCUCCUCUAGGGAUCUGCAGAGUACGUCACCAAGGGAUUCAGGACAGAGUGGCACGUGGGGUCCAGCCACAGCAGGCUACCUUCUGCAAGGACCGCCCGUCCCAAAGACUUUGCAAGGAUUCUCUAUCAAAGUGGCAAUUUUUUAACUUUUAGAGGUGUGGGAUGUGGACCCUCUAAAAGCUGGUGAACGAGGCCAGGGAGAGAUCCUGGGAGAAGCGUCGUGGAGGCCUACGUUUGGGAUGGGUGGGGAUGCUGUCCUGGGGACCCAGAUCCCAAUCCUCCAAUCCUCCACUUGCACACGGAAAAAGUCACGCACCUAGCAGCCCACAGUACCGCAAUGCAGUGAUGAUCAUGCACGGCUCCUCUUCUGGGCUCUCCUUUCUUGGCUGCAACCUGAGGUGGCCACGUGGGUUGUGGGGGGCAGGUUGCCACGUUCACAUUAGCAGCUCAAACCUUCCAGGGACAGCUAAGCCGCGUGGCCCUUCAGAGGUGUCACAACUGCCGGUUUACAGGUGUUCCUCUUAGCCCGAAGGCCUAGGAAGGAAGGCAGGCCUGCCCUCCUCCACAAUCGGCUCCAAGUUCCGUCCGUUGACUUCAGGCUCAAUGUGCCUGGAGAAUCCUUUCCCAAGGCCUGUGUCGGUCUCCUCCUCGGUGCCUCAGUUCCUUCUAGAGCUGCCUGCAGGGGUGUGGGGCGGAGUGCAGCCGCCCAACCAGCCUUCAGUUUCUGCCCUCCAAGUGGGCCGCACCGAGAGACACGGCCCCAUAGCCACGGUCGGCCCCCUGGCUCAACCUGGUCUUUGCUCCGGUCUUGUGCUUUCUGCUGUUAAGAACUUGUUAUCAAAACCCUGUAAUUUAAAACAAACAGACAAAAAUACACAGAUCUUUUCUGAAUCUGAGUUGUACAGGUUCUCUUUUGUAAACAAAAACAUGUUUUCCAGUGUGUGAUUGUACAACUGGGCCGGGUCCGCCAAGCAAUUGUACAAAGCGGUUUCCGUGGUGGUGGUGGUGGUGGUGCCCCUGCUGCUUGAGGCUGGGGGGUCUCAGCUUCCUGUUACUGCUGCAUGAAGUGGACGAGGGCUCAGGUCUGCUUAGACGCAAAGUCAGGGCUGGGGGGCACUCCAGUGGGGCCUGUCUGGGACGGGAAAGCCCAGUUUCUGCUUUAGCCGUCAGCCAGCUUGGGAUGGACGCGGAGAGGAGUUUGGGAAGCCCUUGGCCCAGCUCAGUCGCUCGACCUCGGAACGGCAACUGCUGGAGUUGGAGUGCAGCCCAGGGAGGGGUGAAAAGGUGCCCAGCAAGGAAGGGAGCUGUGGCGGAGGCUGCUGGGCCCUGCUGAAGACCGUCCGAGGCGGGGAGGCAACUCCCCUGAGCUGGCCCGCAGAAAAACGAGUGGGGAGACCGUGCUUUGCCCUCCGUGGGAAUGGCAUGCGGGUUCCGAGGUUGGCGUGCAGAUUCUGAAAGGACUGGCCGCACCAUGGGGGCCUCUCAGCAGCAGGCCGGGACUGGCGUCGUCGGGUCAUUUCUGCCGUCUGGAGGAGCGAGCCCCAAACCGGGCAACAAGCGCCAAGCCCGCGGGGGCUCUGACCAGUUAGGGGGUCUCAGCCUGCUCACGGUGGAGGGACGGAGGUGCUCUGGGGUGUCCAUCCCUGCUUCUAGGUGUGCCCACAGUCAUUUCAACAGAGGGGCAAGCCCCCCAACUGCCCCCUCCACUGGAAGGGCCGGGAAACCCACAGGUGGUGCCUUGGCGGGGGGGGGGCAGGGUGUAUUUUUGAUGAAGUCCAGGGCUCUGGGUCCAUUUCGGUUGAGACCACGGGCAAGGGAAGCACACGGAAAGGACCUCCUUGGCAGCCACACUCCGGUGGCACAGCGGCUUUCAUCCACCAUUGGCCAAGAUCGUUGGAGGACAGACCCUCUUGCAGCAAACUUUGCCGUGUCUGCUUGCCGGGAGCCACUAAUCUAGCCCCAGGGAAAGAGCAGUCCCCAGACACGUCUCUCCCUGACAAUGCCUCCUCGACCCGUGGCUACGGCCCUUUAGCCACUUGGAAGGACUUCUAGCCACAUGUGCUCCAGGACUGGUCGCUGCACAGGUGGUCCCAGCACAGAGCGCUUCCUCGUGGAGCCGGAGGACAAACGGGUCCGGCCUCUCGGGAGGGAAGCAGGAUCUAAGCAGAACCCAGACCAAGCAAGAUGGACGCGCAGCAGCGGGCUGGCUUUGGAAAGGGCCACCAAAACAGACUCUCCCGGGCCCACGUGGGCUGCAAACGUGCCACGCUGUGGCCUCCCGUAUCGGUACAAGAUUCUGUGCUCACCUGUUUUGUGUUUCCUCAUCUGCAUCACUGUGUCUUAAGAGAUACCUCUCUCUCGCUCUCGCUCUCUCACACACAACCUGUACGUCCGCUUCGGCCAAUGCUGGGUCCUGGAAGAGCAGAGACAAAAUGGUUUUUUUACCCUCUUAUAAAGGAAACAAAGCAAAAAAAUAAUAAUAAAACCCUUUUUGUAAGUUUGUUUAAAUAUAUAUAUAUAUAUAUAUAUACACACACACACACAUUAUAUAUGUAUAUAUAUGAAGCCAAGAGGCAGGCGUUUGCCAAAUCUUCUUCAGUCUCUUUUGAAAAAUAAAAAAAAAACUUGUAAUAAUGUACAGAGAAAGUCGUUGGUGUCGAGGGGGGGGGAAUUGAUGUGGACGUACAAUUUAUGUACAUUUGCAAUUAGAAAAUUAUUAAAGAUUUAUUUAGCUAUUUUAA